rnacentral:rRNA from 1 species
ACCUGCGGAAGGAUCAUUACCUAGAGUUGUAGGCUUUGCCUGCUAUCUCUUACCCAUGUCUUUUGAGUACCUUACGUUUCCUCGGUGGGUUCGCCCACCGAUUGGACAAACUUAAACCCUUUGCAGUUGAAAUCAGCGUCUGAAAAAACUUAAUAGUUACAACUUUCAACAACGGAUCUCUUGGUUCUGGCAUCGAUGAAGAACGCAGCGAAAUGCGAUAAGUAGUGUGAAUUGCAGAAUUCAGUGAAUCAUCGAAUCUUUGAACGCACAUUGCGCCCCUUGGUAUUCCAUGGGGCAUGCCUGUUCGAGCGUCAUUUGUACCUUCAAGCUCUGCUUGGUGUUGGGUGUUUGUCUCCUGUAGACUCGCCUCAAAACAAUUGGCAGCCGGCGUAUUGAUUUCGGAGCGCAGUACAUCUCGCGCUUUGCACUCAUAACGACGACGUCCAAAAGUACAUUUUUACACUCUUGACCUCGGAUCAGGUAGGGAUACCCGCUGAACUUAAGCAUA